GGGCACCCUGAUCAGCAAUGCCGCGUGAGUGAAGAAGGCCUUCGGGUUGUAAAGCUCUUUUGUCAGGGAAGAAACGGUUCUGGCUAAUAUCUAGGACUAAUGACGGUACCUGAAGAAUAAGCACCGGCUAACUACGUGCCAGCAGCCGCGGUAAUACGUAGGGUGCAAGCGUUAAUCGGAAUUACUGGGCGUAAAGCGUGCGCAGGCGGUUAUGUAAGACAGAUGUGAAAUCCCCGGGCUCAACCUGGGAAUUGCAUUUGUGACUGCAUGGCUAGAGUGUGUCAGAGGGGGGUAGAAUUCCACGUGUAGCAGUGAAAUGCGUAGAUAUGUGGAGGAAUACCGAUGGCGAAGGCAGCCCCCUGGGAUAACACUGACGCUCAUGCACGAAAGCGUGGGGAGCAAACAGGAUUAGAUACCCUGGUAGUCCACGCCCUAAACGAUGUCUACUAGUUGUCGGGUCUUAAUUGACUUGGUAACGCAGCUAACGCGUGAAGUAGACCGCCUGGGGAGUACGGUCGCAAGAUUAAAACUCAAAGGAAUUGACGGGGACCCGCACAAGCGGUGGAUGAUGUGGAUUAAUUCGAUGCAACGCGAAAAACCUUACCUACCCUUGACAUGGAUGGAAUCCCGAAGAGAU
rnacentral:rRNA from 1 species